GCUCCGGUAGCACAAUUGGUUAGUGCGUCGGACUUUUAAUCCGAAGGUUGCGGGUUCGACCCCCGCCUGGAGCG
rnacentral:tRNA from 1 species